UACGUAGGGGGCAAGCGUUGUCCGGAUUUACUGGGCGUAAAGAGCGUGUAGGCGGCCAAGCAGGUCCGUUGUGAAAACUGGAGGCUUAACCUCCAGACGUCGACGGAAACCGCGUGGCUAGAGUCCGGAAGAGGAGAGUGGAAUUCCUGGUGUAGCGGUGAAAUGCGCAGAUAUCAGGAAGAACACCAAUGGCGAAGGCAGCUCUCUGGGACGGUACUGCCGCUGAGACGCGAAAGCGUGGGGAGCGAACAGG
rnacentral:rRNA from 1 species